rnacentral:lncRNA from 1 species
GCCACCUCAGCAUGGCGAUUCUAUCUCUAUUCUUCCAAGAAACGACAAAGCUCUUUCUUUCCCACUCGACAUGUCUUCUACCCGAGCAUGGCGCGAGCUGUAGACUCGCGUUUCUAUCAAGAGAAAGACUUUCCAUAGCAACGGAUAAGUAGCUAGUGAUGGGUCGUUCUGCGAUGAAUUUACGUUUAGUUAGCCAAAAAAAUAUGUCAAUGCACUAUUUUUCACGCAUGAACCUAUACAUAAACUCACGUAACUCAAAGUAACAACAAAACGUAUUCAUCGAACUUAUUUUUUAUCUGUGGAACUAAAAUGGUUCAUGUUUGUUUGUUUACAAAAAACGAUUAUUGUUGUUGAUUUUAAGUAUUUAAAUAUUGGUGAUUACUGCGUGCGGCAAGGAAAAACGUACGAAGUCCCAUCCAAUAAACAGAGAAGAUAGUAUCCCGAUCCAUUGGGAAAAGAAGGCCACGAUAAAGAAGAAUAGGUCCGUAUUCAAACGCUGCUGAAAAAAUAUGGAAAAGAACGAGUUCUUGGCGUACAAUGUUGACACGAGAAUCAUUCUAUUAAUUACAAAAAAAGGA